AGAGUUUGAUCAUGGCUCAGAACGAACGCUGGCGGCGUGGACUAGGCAUGCAAGUCGAACGAGAAUCCAUCGUUUCAAUCCUUCGGGAGAGAAAAGGUGGUGGAAAGUGGCGAAAGGGUGAGUAACGCGUGGGUAAUUUGCCUCUAAGUUGGGGAUAGCCUCUGGAAACGGGGGGUAAUACCGAAUGUGGUCUCUCCGCGCAUGCGGAGAUGUCUAAAGGUGGGGAUCUUCGGACCUGCCGCUUGGAGAUGAGCCCGCGUCCCAUCAGCUUGUUGGUAGGGUAACGGCCUACCAAGGCUUUGACGGGUAGCUGGUCUGAGAGGAUGGUCAGCCACACUGGGACUGAGACACUGCCCAGACUCCUACGGGAGGCUGCAGUCGAGAAUCAUUCGCAAUGCACGAAAGUGCGACGAUGCGACGCCGCGUGCAGGAUGACGGCCUUCGGGUUGUAAACUGCUGUCAUGAGGGAACAAUAACUUGGGUAUUAAUACCACUCGGGUGUGAUGGUACCUCAAGAGGAAGCCACGGCUAACUCUGUGCCAGCAGCCGCGGUAAUACAGAGGUGGCGAGCGUUGUUCGGAUUUACUGGGCGUAAAGGGUGCGUAGGCGGCUUUGUAUGUCGGAUGUG
rnacentral:rRNA from 1 species